CGUAGUUAGCCGUGACUUAUUCUUGGGGUACCGUCCUUGCUCUUCCCCCAAAAAAGGAGUUUACGACCCAAGGGCCUUCAUCCUCCACGCGGCGUUGCUGCAUCAGGGUUGCCCCCAUUGUGCAAUAUUCCUC
rnacentral:rRNA from 1 species